UCACAAUGCACCUUCACGGGAAAGUUCUAGAGAGAGAAACAAAAGCUUAGAGAGAGAGAGAGAGAGAGAAAUGGCAGCCUAUAUCGAUUCUUGGGUUUCUUCUUCAAUCCAAGAAAACCCAAAAGAAGAGGAAGCAAAUGAGUCAUUGGAAUCAAUCUUUUCUUCUUCUGCGUUCAACCGACAAGUGGAGCGGGAGGAAGGAGAAUUGCCCAAGCUAAGGAGCUCAUCGUCGAGCGGCAGCAGGAAGAAGAAGAAGAAGAACCAGGUUUUGCUUGAAGGGUAUGUUGAUUCGGCCGAUGAGGACGAUCUGUCGAGGACCAAGAGCUUGACGGAUGAGGAUCUCGAUGAGCUCAAAGGGUGCUUGGAUCUGGGAUUCGGGUUCAGCUAUGAAGAAAUUCCCGAGCUCUGUAACACCUUGCCUGCUCUUGAGCUUUGUUACUCUAUGAGCCAGAAGUUUAUGGAUAAGUCGCCGGAGAGCUCUCCUGCUGCACUGGAUUCCUGCUCUUCUGUGUCCAGUCCGAUUGCCAAUUGGAAGAUCUCCAGUCCUGGUGACCAUCCAGAGGAUGUGAAGGCGAGGCUGAAAUACUGGGCACAGGCUGUGGCGUGCACUGUUAGAUUGUGCAACUAGCUGAUGAUAUAGAUUAGGAUUUUAUGCUUUAAUGCCUAAGCAAAAUUUUAAAAUGGACCAACAUUCUCGGGUGGAGAUGAAACAUCAAUAGGUGUGGGUGGGUGGACCUUCCUAUGCAGCAGCUUGUGCUGUAUGGUUUAUUCCAGAAUGGCUUCGUUAUCAGGAACAGAAUUGUUCCUGCAAUUCGUUAGCUGGAGAUUGGCUCCGAGAACCUGUUGAUGAUGGAUCUACUUUUGAGGAAGAUGGGGGAAGAUUAUUUCAGUGGUGAGGUGAGAGCCUCCUUUGGAGCUUCACCAAGUACUUGCUGUCCUCUGCAUUUGCUGAGGUAACUAACCUAACUUAGUCCACAUUGUGUGUUUUUGCGAUGCUGACAAUUAUGAUCCUGAUCCUAUUAUGAUAGUUCUGGUUCUGUGAUGCUUUUUAACUGUACCGGCCUGACUGAUUGUGUUGAUCCAUGGUAUGGAUAGAUAGAAAGGUUGGAUGGACCGGCCAUGCUGACAGUUUGUGAUGCUUAACAAUGCCCGAGGUUGGAUGAAAUGACUCUGUGAUGCUUAAUUAUAUGCUUAAUCUGCUGACUAAUCAUUCAGCUGGAAUUCCAGAUGCAACUGAAAAGAGGGCGACAACUGGAUUCCUAUCUGACCAUGAAAUUUGAUUCGGAACUUUACGUUUUAGUUUUCUCUGGUCUUGAAAUUUGAUUAAUUGGUAUGGUUUCUUGUGGUUUAGUUAUAUGGAAUUGACUAGUUACGGAUGCAUUCCCGCUGAGAGCACUAAGACGAUGAUCUUAGAAUGCAUGAUUGCAUCUGAUAGUUUACAUAGUGAAUUGUAACCAGUAGACUGAGAACGCAGGUCAUCGGAAAUAGAGUAAACUUGAAUGAUUUCAAGUUGUAAUUAAUGCUUGAUAGUGUUGUAAGUAUUGAGAAACUUAAUAGGAUAAGAGGGAGAGAAUUGCCUCUCAUUUUAUUUCUUGUG